CAUGGGUUGAGCGUUUGCUGCGGAAGAUGGAAUGAUUUCGCGCUUGCCAGAUUUGUCAAAGAAGAGCUACUACAAUCUCCGAAUCAGGACUUCUUGAACAACCAAGAUGUUAUCCUGUAUUUGCCUACCAGAUACAAAAGCACUCUGUUCCAUGGAGAUCAACUCAGGAUGUGGGAUCUUCGGAAUCAGAGUGAUAAGCGUUUUGUUUAAAGCUGGGGGCAGCACUCCUGUGCUGAAAAA